rnacentral:tRNA from 1 species
UGUGACAGAAANAUAUGUAAUGGAUUUAAGCCCCAUUUAUAAAGGGCNUAUCCUUUUUUUAGAAUNUG